rnacentral:rRNA from 1 species
CCUACGGGAGGCAGCAGUGAGGAAUAUUGGUCAAUGGGCGCGAGCCUGAACCAGCCAUGUAGCGUGAAGGUUGACUGCCCUUCGGGUUGUAAACUUCUUUUAUCAAGGAAUAUAGUGAGCCACGUGUGCCUUUUUGUAUGUCCUUUAUGAAUAAGGAUCGGCUAACUCCGUGCCAGCAGCCGCGGUAAUCCGGAGGAUCCGAGCGUUAUCCGGUUUUAUUGGGUUUAAAGGGAGCGUAGAUGGGUGGUUAAGUCAGUUGUGAAAGUUUGCGGCUCAACCGUAAAAUUGCAAUUGAUACUGGCAGUCUUGAGUACAGUUGAGGUAGGCGGAAUGCGUGGUGUAGCGGUGAAAUGCAUAGAUAUCACGAAGAACUCCGAUUGCGAAGGCAGCUUACUAAACUGCCACUGACAUUGAUGCUCGAAAGUGUGGGUAUCAAACAGGAUUAGAUACCCGUGUAGUC